AUAGUUCAACAGCAUUAUUUUAUCUAAUCAAAAUUCAAAACCAAAGGUAAGAACCAAGAAGCCUAUAUGGCUUUCAGUGGCAACGGACGUCGUCGUUUGGUGCAGCAGUGAUGAAUAAGUACCGACUUUAGGGUCCCGUUUUGCCGACACUGUUUCACUCUCAGAUGGCUAAGAUAUUGGGGACUCAGCUCUUUGUUCACAGGUUGUCAUUUUUCACAAACCAUCAAGAGCUUAAGACUUUAUUUGCACCAUUUGGUGUUGUUAAAGAAGCUAGGCUCAUCAGAGACUCCAAAACUCAAAGGCCUAAAGGGUUCGGUUUUGUUACAUUUGAAACCGAGGCAGAAGCUCAGAAGGCACUGAAAGCGAUGAAUGGCAGGAUUGUCCGUGGAAGGCUGAUAUUUGUUGAAUACGCAAAUGAUAAGUCUCAAAAGACCGAUGCAGACAGUUGAAAAAUGGCACGCUAAUGCUCGUUUCAAGAUCUCCUCAUCUUACCAACACCUUGAGUCUAAAAUACAAAAUCGACUAGCACAGUAUUGAAUACGGGGUAUGAGAGAGUUUUUGUUUUCGUAUUUGGGGCCUAUGUUACUUGGACUCAAACUCAUAUGCGUGUGUUAGAUACGGAUUUGUGUUUAACACGGAUAUAUUCAAUUUAUUGUAAGUUACUUUUAUGUAUUUGAAGAUUUUUGAAGGGUCAUGUCUCAUUAGAUAUAUGUUGGACAUUAAAGUUGAACAUUGAGUGAGCAAAUUAACAAAGUAAUGUCACUAUGCAUCAAAACUUUAAAAAUAAAAGCAUGAAUAAUAAGAUAAAAUUGGUGAAGCAUUUAAUUUAACGAGGCUAAUAUGCAUUCCACCAAGGAAGCAUGGAAGAAUAAUUAACUUGGCUUGUAAGUAUCUAUACAUGGCAUAUCCAGGAGCAAAAUUGACAUAAUGCACAGGAGAAUUAUAAGGUGUAGAAGCCUCUCUUGGACUCAGAAUAUAGUUACGUGCAUUUUCCUUUUCAAGUUUUUCCAUUUUGAGUAAUUCUUGAUGAAUCAUAUUUCCAUAAUAAUGUAUGUCUGAAUAUGUGCGAAAAAUCAGAGUAAUAACAGCUAGAAGUGGAUCAAACAUUUGUCAUUAUUUUUUUUUAUUAAUUUUUAAGUUUUUUUUCUAUGGCAGACAGGAGAAAAUGAAGCUGAAGUAGCUUCUACUACCGAUGGAGCAAAAUAGGUAGUCCUUCAACCAAACCAAAAAAACACAAAAAAAUUAACAAAUCUCUAUACUCACACAAAAUCAAACCGCAUAAGAAGUCUGGUAGAGUUUAACUUUUCUCCUUUACGAUCAAAGAGGGGAACUGCCCGGAUCCCCUGCUUCAGUUCUGAGACUGGCAAACAAGUUUGACCGGCAAAGUCAUCCUUCUCGGACAUGUCAUAUUCGUGGACCUCAACUCGCAGCAAUGCCAAUUCAGGAACAGUCAAUGGAAAUGUAAAUUCUUCAUCCCAAACAGGUGUCCAGUUGUCUUCUUUUAUCUUCGUUUUCUUCAUUAUUUCAUCAUCUGGCACUCCUGCUAUUCCAACCUGCAUUAACAAAUUCAGUGUUAAAAUUCAGUAAGCAUGUUUAUCAUUACUCAAACUACACUGCACUUGGCUGGUUCACUGUAAAUUUUGCUGGAAUACACGAAAUAUUGAAGUAUAUCAGAAAAUUGUUUUGAUACAUUAAACAA